rnacentral:rRNA from 1 species
UAGGGAAUCUUCGGCAAUGGGGGCAACCCUGACCGAGCAACGCCGCGUGAGUGAAGAAGGUUUUCGGAUCGUAAAGCUCUGUUGUAAGAGAAGAACGUGUGUGAGAGUGGAAAGUUCACACAGUGACGGUAACUUACCAGAAAGGGACGGCUAACUACGUGCCAGCAGCCGCGGUAAUACGUAGGUCCCGAGCGUUGUCCGGAUUUAUUGGGCGUAAAGCGAGCGCAGGCGGUUUAAUAAGUCUGAAGUUAAAGGCAGUGGCUUAACCAUUGUUCGCUUUGGAAACUGUUAAACUGGAGUGCAGAAGGGGAGAGUGGAAUUCCAUGUGUAGCGGAGAAAUGCGUAGAUAUAUGGAGGAACACCGGUGGCGAAAGCGGCUCUCUGGUCUGUAACUGACGCUGAGGCUCGAAAGCGUGGGGAGCAAACAGG